AUUGAACGCUGGCGGCAGGCUUAACACAUGCAAGUCGAGCGGGGUGAUGGUGCUUGCACUAUCACUUAGCGGCGGACGGGUGAGUAAUGCUUAGGAAUCUGCCUAUUAGUGGGGGACAACAUCUCGAAAGGGAUGCUAAUACCGCAUACGUCCUACGGGAGAAAGCAGGGGAUCACUUGUGACCUUGCGCUAAUAGAUGAGCCUAAGUCGGAUUAGCUAGUUGGUGGGGUAAAGGCCUACCAAGGCGACGAUCUGUAGCGGGUCUGAGAGGAUGAGCCGCCACACUGGGACUGAGACAGGGCCCAGACUCCUACGGGAGGCAGCAGUGGGGAAUAUUGGACAAUGGGGGGAACCCUGAGCCAGCCAUGCCGCGUGUGUGAAGAAGGCCUUAUGGUUGUAAAGCACUUUAAGCGAGGAGGAGGCUCUUUUGGUUAAUACCCAAGAUGAGUGGACGUUACUCGCAGAAUAAGCACCGGCUAACUCUGUGCCAGCCGCCGCCGUAA
rnacentral:rRNA from 1 species